AUUUUAUCACGUUUACCUUUUCUCUAUCUGACGCUUUCGUGCCGUUUGUUGACGCAACCAUCUCCAAUUUACGUCUGAAACUAUGGAGAAGCAAAUCUAAUGCUGAGAAACGAAUUUAGAUCGAUAUUUUCAAGUGAAAGGGAUGACACAAAGCAACCAAGUGUGUUCGCUUUAAAACCUGACCGCCGGAAUCGUAAGAGUGCCGAGAAAAAAUAUGCCUUAUGACAUUUAGUUACAGCCCUUUAUGUUCCGAGUUCAAAACCCACCCUAUUCGUCUUUUACUUUUCACCCUUUUGUGAUUGAUAAAAUAAAGUAUGGGCCAAGUAUUGUGUCAAUUUAGAAUUUUUUUAAUACAUCAUUGAUAUGGAUGGGAUAAUGAAAGACUAAAACCAGAAGAAAAAGAAAUGAAAUAAACGGUUUUAACAGAAAACUAGAUCAGAGUUUCCUGCUGGUGUGUGCAUCAUCAGCUGCAAUCAACGUAUCAGUUCAUUCUAAUUAAUUUAAGUGUGUUAUAUACCCGAUUAACUUGAAUGAGGCAGAUGAAGUGUUUUAACUGAGGAUUCAAAGAGCUACACUUGAACCCAUUACACUGUUUCAGUCCUUUAAUUAUUCAUCCACCACACAACAACAAAUAAAUAAAUAAGCAAUUCUCAAGAUAAACGAAUAUUUUUAUUUUAAUACUUUCAAUUAUUUUCUGCAAUGAUUCCUUUAUGGAGAGAGAGAGAGAGAGAGAGAGAAGAAUAUUUUUCAUAGUCUGGUUUCUCCUAAGACUUUGAACUUCAAGGACAAAUUGUUUCAGGCUGAUAGACGCAACAAUAUUUUAUGAAUUAAAAGAGUUAUGUGUAUGUGUGUGUGUGUGUGUGUAUGUCUGUAUUGAUAGAAAGUGGAUUAACCAUCUAACAGGAAUAAGACAACACCUUCCUUUCCCUCCACUACUCUAGUGUGCUCCUUGGGCCAAUUUAUGGCUUCUCUCUAUGUCACUUAGGUAUAUAGAUCCCCUACCACUCAAGUUGAAUCACUAUGUUUAAGCAUGGGCAGAUACCUAGUGCUGGUAUCAACAACUAUAUACCCUGGAGAAAGAGUAGACCUUGUUCACUAUAUUAAACUUUAGACAAAUGCAAUGUAAAUGUUCUGGUAACAUAAUACACAGCAUGUGCAUCUCCACAGCCAAACACUUAGGCACUAAGAUAAGGUGAUGGUUAUGGCAAAAAGCUGGUGGAGACUGCUUCCUGUUUGAACAAUCUGAAAUGCUUGCAGUUUAAUAUCAAUAAUGAAUCUGCAGGGUGUUAAGUGAAACAGCAGUAGAUGACAUAAACUUGCAUUUAAACAGAAGCACUACAGAUAGAGGCACAAAUGCUUGUCUUCCAGAAUUUGCAAAGCAUUAACAAAUUUCCACUAGUAACAGAUCUGUCAUAUAUGCAGUUCAAUUGCCAAGCUGAAAGCUGGGCUUCCAGGAAUAGGUUCUUGAAAAUGCUGCAGUCAGUGGCAAAGUUUUUGUUAGGAAAUGCAGAAGGGAAAGGAAGAAGAGAUAUAAAAAUAAGAAAGAGAAAAUUCACCAAUGACUUAACUAUCAUCAUUGAUGAAACAAUUGUUUGUUACAUCCAUUGUUUGCAAUGCUAGCAUGAGUGGAAUGUUUAUUGUUAGAACAUUUUUUUUAAUGGAUGUCCUUCCUAGUUCUAACAUCUUCAUUAUGAAAUUUGAGAAUAGGUGGAGCAUGUUGUCAGUGAGGUAAACUGAGGCAAGCAGAGUUAUGUCCCUCAACAAAAGACAAUAUAAUGCUUGAGAGUGUUCAGGUCAUUAGAGAAUACAUCAUACGUCUUUUAACAGCUUCUUUGUUUUUCCCUCUUUUGUAAUAACUGCAGCAAAUACUCUUAUCUAGAUGGAAACUGAAAUAUUAGUCUUAGAGAAAAAAACCCUUCAAGAAACUAUAAUAUUUUUUUAAAAAACAAAAGAUGUUUGAAAAAUAUGAUAUGCAAAGAUGUAUGCGACUUAUAAAUACAUAAACAUAUGUACAUAAGCGUAACAAAUGCAUCCACACACACUAACAUACAAAUAUUUUUAUACAGAUAUUCAUUGAAAAGAAACUAUUUUCAAGAGAAUGGGAACCGGGUUAUUUUGAAUGUCAAUAAAACAAUAUUUCUAACAAUAAAGUCCCUAAAAAAAAAGACAA